UAUGCGUCACUGGGCGGAGUCGAAGCCUCGGUCAGCCGUAAGCAAGGGACGCGAAGCUUUCAGAGAAAAGUUUCCUACGGUCUUCUGGGGCUUGGUCCUUUUGACUUUUGUCGACGUUUAAAGACCUUGGGAAGUGGCCCAGGCUUGAGUUUUGAAGACAUUAUGCUCUGGGACAAAUUCUUUGGCCCCUCAGUUUUCUCAUCUGUAAAAUGGAGAUGAUAGUAAAUAUUAGUAAAUAUCUGGAAUGCGGAAAAUGUCAAGCCAGACCUGCUUUGAGCUAUGAAAGAAAAUGAUAAACUCAUAGAUCCAAGAAACUCAAGGCAUCCCAGACAGAAGACUAAGUCCCAUCAUAAUCACAGUGAUUAAGAGGGAAACUCUCCAGAGAAUAAAGACAUGUUACCUACACAGGGAAAAGAUAAAAAUGACAACAAACUUCUAGUUGGAAACAAUGGAAACAAGAAGGUGUUAAAUCAACAUCUUUAAAUGACUGAAAGGAAAAAAAAUCGGGUUAGAAAAUUGUAUACCAACAAAAAUAUAUCUCAAAAAUGAAGGCCAAAUUAUAUUUCUAAGAUAUGAAAUCUGAAGGAACUCAUCAUCAAUUUGUUUUUACUACAAGAAAUGUUAAAGGAUAUCCUUUAUGCAGAAGGAGGUGAUACCAGAUGGGAAUCUGGAUCUGCAUAAAGAAAGGAAGAACACAGUAAUGCUACAUCCAUCUGACACUAUUUGGAAGGAGAAGAAAAGAUGCCAAUGUUAAUGAGCUCCUACUGUGUGCCUGGCAUUUUACAUACAUUAUUUCUUUACGGCCCUUUGAGAGCUUUACUGUCAUCUCCUUGUUUAACAUCUUCCUGACCAUCCACACACACCCCCUCCUCUGCGACCGUAAAGCCACUGUGUGUGCUUGUGUCAGAGUACCCAUCACCCUGGCCUACCUGUGUCUACACCAGCCUGGGACCUCCUUGAGACUGGAAUCAUAUCUAAGUUAUCCAUGUCCAGCACUUAGCGUCCUUCGUCUACAUGCUGUAUGCAGGUUACUCUGCUAGCUUCAGUAGCCGCUGAAGUGAACAAGAUCUUUUUACCACAAUAAGAAGUUUAUACUCAAUAUGCAAACUGAUAAUUACAAAACAGCAGGAAAAAAUGCCAUUAGGCAGAGGUCUGUGCCUGGCACCAUGCAGGUCUGAUGGGGCAAAGCUAAUUCUGUGCAUGUUAGGAAAGCCGAGUCUUGUGGACUGUCUCUCAUCCUCUCAACUCACCUUUUACACCAGCUAUUGCAAUGGCAACUAGCUUCCCAAUAGUGUAACCUGACAGCACCGUGCAGCUCUCAUUGUCUGCACGAGGGCUUCCCCAUAAGGUAACCGAUGAUCAGUGGGAAGCAGGAACUAAUGAAUAAAUGCCCCGGUCUUCCAACUCACAGCUAACAACUCUGAAUUGCAUCCUACGUAGUUCUUCAAAGGAUUCCUGUAGGAUGGAGUCUCAGUUGGCCACAAGAAGGGAACAAAGCAAUAACUUACUCUUAUAUUGACUUUCCUUCACUGUUAUAAUCAUUCCAGACAUCCUUCAUAAUCCUUGGGUCUACUUCCCCCCAAAUUCUCUGUAUUCAAGGCCUGGUCUUAAUCCCUUCUUUCCUGGGAAAGCCCAAUCUAAGACCUGGGUUCUGAAAGCUGAGCAUGAAUCUUCCAAGUGUGGAAAUAGGGAAAGCGCAUUCCAGUCACAAGAAAAAGCCGGAGCCAAGAUAAGGAGGUAUGAAGAAUGAAAGUUGUAUUUAGGGAUUUGCAGUAAACUGCUGUAAAUGAACCAGAAGGUGUAUGGAGAUUGUGAGGAGGAGGAAAUUACUAGAGGGAAGUUUUGUUGAUUGAGAAAUACUUAUCAUACAUGCUAAGCUGAAAAUAUUGAAAACUGUUUCCCCAAAGUUUUGUUUGUUUUUUUGUUUUUCAUCAUAAGCGUCUAUAUUGUGCUUCAUCUCUGAGAAAGCAAUGGCCCAUAGACUGGAGAAUAACUUUGAACCCAUACAAUCAAGACAAAAUUGAAUAUUUGGGUGAAAGACCAAAUUCCGGAAAACAAAACUGCUUUUAUGCAUAUUAUCUGCAGGUGUGUAAAUCAAAUUUAUAACCAUCUAUUAUGACUGAAAGAGAGGGAUCCUGAAAAAUUUCAAGGAAGAAAAGUAAAUGGAAAUGAAUUGUGUAAUAUCUAUUAUUAUUAAUUAAAGUUACAUAAAAUAGCAGUGUAUUUCAUUGUCUUAUUAUUAUGAACAAAAAAUAUGCGCUUUUGUGUAAUUACUCCUACCUUAUUUACCCUUAUUUAACAAUUAGGACUUAAGUUUUUCAGCUACAAAUACUCUUCCUGGGAGGCAUGGUACAUUUAGGUCUAAGAGGGAAUUUUGGACCUCCUUUUUUAUUUAAGUACUGUCUAUGUUCUAUCUUAUAUAACAUCUAAAAUAUUUCAUCAAAUCUGGGCUUCUUUGUAAUGGAUAGACAGUUAUUUCAUUAUUUUUUAUGACACUAAGAAAAAAUGGUGUUAAUUACAUUUUGACAUAUUGUUAAAGUGUAAGUUGCAUCCCGAUAUCGGGGGUUUGUGAAACUAUACAACUUAAAAUUGAUGCUUGCAAUUUCAUGUCCCCUACCUAACUGUGAGCUAUGGGGGCGGGGAGGAAUUUGAAUUGUUCAACUUUGACUCUUUCUAAUACUUGGUAUAAUUCCUGGCAUAUGUAUGGUUGAUAUGUACUCAACAAAUAUUUGCUGAACUGAGCAGAUCUCUACCUAUCUUUACCCAUUUUGACAUAGCUUUAAUAACCUACUUCAGAGACCAAAGGGACGGUUGCCGGAGGGGAGGACAGUAAGAAGAUGGGUGAAAAGGUAAAGGGGAACAUAGUCAAUAAUAUUGUGAUAAGUUUGCACAGUGACUGACGGUUACUAGAGUUAGUGGAGUGAUGACAUUGUAAGGUAUAAAAAUGUUAAAUCGCUAUACUGUACACCUGAAACUAAUAUAACUAAUAUAAUAUAUAUAAACUAUACUAAAAUAAUAUAAAAUAAAAGCCUACUUCAAACAGGACAUUUCAUAGGAUGAGAAUUUCAUCAUCCAUCUCAGAAACCUGCAGAGUACAAUGAAACAGACCUACUACUAUUCAGCAUCAAAAAAAAAUAUCAUAUUACCAUCUUUUUGUUUAUGCCGACUCAAGAACUUAAAGUGUAUGAAGAUUUUCCACAAUCUGUUUUAUGUAUUUUUGUCUCCAUGCCACAAAUCAUAUUCUCUCACCUUUAUAAGAAAGCCAAGGACCUCUUAAAACAAAUCUUUGUUUAAAUAAAUGUGGUAGUAAAAAUAAUUUUGAAAGUA